CCCCUUAUGACUUGGGCUACACACGUGCUACAAUGGCGUAAACAAAGGGAAGCGAGAGUGUGAGCUUAAGCAAAUCUCAAAAAUAACGUCUCAGUUCGGAUUGUAGUCUGCAACUCGACUACAUGAAGCUGGAAUCGCUAGUAAUCGCGAAUCAGAAUGUCGCGGUGAAUACGUUCCCGGGUCUUGUACACACCGCCCGUCACACCAUGGGAGUUGGUAACGCCCGAAGUCAGUGACCCAACCGUAAGGAGGGAGCUGCCGAAGGCGGGACUGAUAACUGGGGUGAAGUCGUAACAAGGUAAACC
rnacentral:rRNA from 1 species